rnacentral:rRNA from 1 species
UGGGGAAUAUUGCACAAUGGAGGGAACUCUGAUGCAGCGACGCCGCGUGAACGAAGAAGGCUUUCGAGUCGUAAAGUUCUUUUAUAUGGGAAGAUAAUGACGGUACCAUAAGAAAAAGCCCCGGCUAACUACGUGCCAGCAGCCGCGGUAAUACGUAUGGGGCGAGCGUUGUCCGGAAUUAUUGGGCGUAAAGCGCGCGCAGGUGGUUUAGAAAGUCUGAUGUGAAAGCCCACGGCUCAACCGUGGAGGGUCAUUGGAAACUAAUAAACUUGAGUGCAGGAGAGAAAAGUGGAAUUCCUAGUGUAGCGGUGAAAUGCGUAGAGAUUAGGAGGAACACCGGUGGCGAAAGCGGCUUUUUGGCCUGCAACUGACACUGAGGCGCGAAAGCGUGGGGAGCAAACAGG